rnacentral:ncRNA from 1 species
UAUAUCACGAUGAUAGGAAGCAGUAGCAACUAGGUUUUUUCAAAGAGAGCCAGCGGGUGGUGUGAGCUGGUAAAAACCGUUGUGAAUCCGUCCUGGAGUAGCAGAACUGAAGUCAGUAGGUUCUUGCCGGUCAGUUGAGCCGAUAUCUCAAACAAGUGGGCUGGGUAACCAGUCAAUUUGGGUGGCAACGCGGGUAGUUCUCGUCCCUUUU